rnacentral:rRNA from 1 species
CCUACGGGUGGCUGCAGUGGGGAAUAUUGCACAAUGGGCGCAAGCCUGAUGCAGCCAUGCCGCGUGUGUGAAGAAGGCCUUCGGGUUGUAAAGCACUUUCAGCGGGGAGGAAGGCGGUGAGGUUAAUAACCUCAUCGAUUGACGUUACCCGCAGAAGAAGCACCGGCUAACUCCGUGCCAGCAGCCGCGGUAAUACGGAGGGUGCAAGCGUUAAUCGGAAUUACUGGGCGUAAAGCGCACGCAGGCGGUCUGUCAAGUCGGAUGUGAAAUCCCCGGGCUCAACCUGGGAACUGCAUUCGAAACUGGCAGGCUAGGGUCUUGUAGAGGGGGGUAGAAUUCCCGGUGUAGCGGUGAAAUGCGUAGAGAUCUGGAGGAAUACCGGUGGCGAAGGCGGCCCCCUGGACAAAGACUGACGCUCAGGUGCGAAAGCGUGGGGAGCAAACAGGAUUAGAUACCCGAGUAGUC